rnacentral:rRNA from 1 species
GACGAACGCUGGCGGCGUGCCUAAUACAUGCAAGUUGAGCGCUGAAGGUUGGUACUUGUACCGACUGGAUGAGCAGCGAACGGGUGAGUAACGCGUGGGGAAUCUGCCUUUGAGCGGGGGACAACAUUUGGAAACGAAUGCUAAUACCGCAUAAACACUUUAAACACAAGUUUUAAGUUUGAAAGAUGCAAUUGCAUCACUCAAAGAUGAUCCCGCGUUGUAUUAGCUAGUUGGUGAGGUAAAGGCUCACCAAGGCGAUGAUACAUAGCCGACCUGAGAGGGUGAUCGGCCACAUUGGGACUGAGACACGGCCCAAACUCCUACGGGAGGCAGCAGUAGGGAAUCUUCGGCAAUGGACGAAAGUCUGACCGAGCAACGCCGCGUGAGUGAAGAAGGUUUUCGGAUCGUAAAACUCUGUUGGUAGAGAAGAACGUUGGUGAGAGUGGAAAGCUCAUCAAGUGACGGUAACUACCCAGAAAGGGACGGCUAACUACGUGCCAGCAGCCGCGGUAAUAC